GUGGAAGUAUCAUAAUCGGCAAUGAACCUCCUUGUCAAGGAGGGUUACGGCGGUUCGAACCCGCUCUUCCUCG